AUUGAAGCUGGCGGCAGGCCUAACACAUGCAAGUCGAACGGUAACAGGAAGCAGCUUGCUGCUUUGCUGACGAGUGGCGGACGGGUGAGUAAUGUCUGGGAAACUGCCUGAUGGAGGGGGAUAACUACUGGAAACGGUAGCUAAUACCGCAUAACGUCGCAAGACCAAAGAGGGGGACCUUCGGGCCUCUUGCCAUCGGAUGUGCCCAGAUGGGAUUAGCUAGUAGGUGGGGUAAAGGCUCACCUAGGCGACGAUCCCUAGCUGGUCUGAGAGGAUGACCAGCCACACUGGAACUGAGACACGGUCCAGACUCCUACGGGAGGCAGCAGUGGGGAAUAUUGCACAAUGGGCGCAAGCCUGAUGCAGCCAUGCCGCGUGUAUGAAGAAGGCCUUCGGGUUGUAAAGUACUUUCAGCGGGGAGGAAGGGAGUAAAGUUAAUACCUUUGCUCAUUGACGUUACCCGCAGAAGAAGCACCGGCUAACUCCGUGCCAGCAGCCGCGGUAAUACGGAGGGUGCAAGCGUUAAUCGGAAUUACUGGGCGUAAAGCGCACGCAGGCGGUUUGUUAAGUCAGAUGUGAAAUCCCCGGGCUCAACCUGGGAACUGCAUCUGAUACUGGCAAGCUUGAGUCUCGUAGAGGGGGGUAGAAUUCCAGGUGUAGCGGUGAAAUGCGUAGAGAUCUGGAGGAAUACCGGUGGCGAAGGCGGCCCCCUGGACGAAGACUGACGCUCAGGUGCGAAAGCGUGGGGAGCAAACAGG
rnacentral:rRNA from 1 species